rnacentral:lncRNA from 1 species
CCUAUGGGGACAUUGUGACAUAUUUCUGCACUGAUCACCCAGGUGAUGGGACCCUUGUCUAGGCUCUAUUUAUGGGGACUUUGUGACAUAUCUCUGCACUGAUCACCCAGGUGAUGUAACGCUUGACUAGGCUCUGCCUACGGGGCAUAGUGACAUAUCACUGCAUUGAUCACCGAGGAGAUGUAACUCUUGUCUAGGCUCUGCCUAAAGUGGGCUUGUGACAUAUCUCUGCACUGAUCACCCAGGUGAUAUAACUCUUCUCUAGGAUCUGCCUACUGGGUGCUUUGUGACAUAUCCCUGCAAUGAUCACCCAGGUGAUAUACCACUUGUCAAGGCCCUGCCUACAGGGGCAUUGCGAUGUAUCUCUGCACUGAUCACCUAGGUCAUGUAAAUCUUUUCUAGGCUCUACCUAUAGUGGCAUUGUGACAUAUCUCUGCACUGAUCACCCAGGUGAUGUAACUCUUUUCUAGGAUCUGCCUACAGGGUGCUUUGUGACAUAUCCCUGCAAUGAUCACCCAGGUGAUGUACCACUUGUCAAGGCUCUGCCUACAGGGACAUUGCGAUGUAUCUCUGCACUGAUCACCGAGGUCAUGUAACUCUAGUCUAGGCUCUGCCUACUGUAGCAUAGUGACAUAUCUCUGCACUGAUCAUCCAAGUGAUGUAACCUUUCUCUAGGAUCUGCCUAAAGGGAAUUUGUGACAUAACUCUGCACUGAUCAUCCAGGUGAUGGGGCUUUUAUCUAGGCUCUGCCUAAGGGGGCAUUGUGACAUAUUUCUGCACUGAUCACCCAGGUGAAGGACUCUUGUCUUCGAUCGGCCUAUAGGGGCAUUGUGACAUAUUUCUGCACUGAUCACCCAGGUGAUGGGACUCUUGUCUAGGCUCUGUGUAUGGGGACUUUGUGACAUAUCUCUGCAGUAAUCACCCAGGUGAUGUAACGCUUGACUAGGCUCUGCCUACGGGGCAUAGUGACAUAUCACUGCAUUGAUCACUGAGGUGAUGUAACUCUUGUCCGACUCUGCGUAUAGGGGGCCUUGUGACAUAUCUCUGCACUGAUCAUCUAGGUGAUGUAACUCUUGCUUACACUCUGCCUGCAGGGGCAUUGUGAAAUAUCUCUGCACUGAUCACGCAGGUGAUUGGACUCUUCUGUAGGCUCCGCCUCCUGAGGGCAUUGUCACAUAUUUCUGCAAUGAUCACCCAGGUGACGAACGCUUGUCUUGGAUUUGCCUAUGGGGACAUUGUGACAUAUCUCUGCAAUGAUCAUCCAGGUGAUGUAACUCUGGUCUAAGCUCUGCCUAAAGGGGCCUUGUGACAGAUCUCUGCAGUGAUCACUCAGGUGAUGUAACUAUUGUCGAGGGUCUGCUUAAAGGGGCCUUGUCACAUAUCUCUGCCCUGAUCACCCAGAUGAUGUAACUCUUGUCUAGGCUCUGCUUACAGGGGGCAAUGUGACAUAUCUCUGCAGUGAUCACCUAAGUGAUGUAACAGUUGUGUAGGU